rnacentral:tRNA from 1 species
UGCCCAGGAAUGGGAAUCGAACCCACAGUGUUCCGCUUACCGGGCAGAUGCCAUGUCCACUAGGCUACCCUGGAC